GAGCUAAAAUCUAUUAGCUUUGGUCCACUUGAUUCUCAGCUAUAAACUUCAUUCGGUAUAAAUACAGGUUCUUUUUAAAGUUUAAGCCUCCUCUCUUUGAUCUGUUUUUCUAGAGCCUUUCGUGAAUUUUUUCUUCUUCUUUGUUUCUGGGAGAAGACAAAUCGACUUGAAAGUUUGCCUAGGCUUGCAUUAUGUAAUAACAAUGUAUUGUGAAUAAUCUGUUGUCAGGAAUGUUCAAGUUGUAGCACAAUGUUUAUCCAGCUUAUCUUCAAAACGUGAAGGUCUUCCUCAAAACAUACCUUCCAAAAUCAACCUCAUCGUCUAUGUACCUACAUCGGACUGUCAUCAGCAACCAGCAUUUUAAGUUUCCUAAGGGCACUGGCGAACAAUCUGUUGGACAUCAAUUUCGUGAAAAGGACUUGAAAGUUGUCUUGGACAAUCAACUUUAGGUAACCCUUUUGGGAGCAUAUGAUUUGGAGUUAACCGGGUGCAUACAUAAUGGCAUAAGUUGGAUGUUUUUCCUUGUGUUGUGCCCAUGUCUGCUUAUAUCCCAUUCACGUUAAGAGUUAAUUUGAUGGUAUCAUUGUGCUGGAAUGUCCGCCAUUCAUUUGCUUCUGAUGACUGCUUGAUGUUCAAUUGAAAAGACAGGGGACGUUUCUUCUGGAGGAUUUGAGUGGUCUUGUAAAGAUGUUUUUUCUUUCAGGACAAACUACGACAAAAGUAGGUCCUAACCCAGGUCUAAUCAAGUUAGUUCCCAUAGUUACUCUUUAAACGAUGAACGUCCAGAAAAACUAUAAUUUUAACAUCUGUAAUUCUUUCUUGUAAU